rnacentral:rRNA from 1 species
UACGUAGGGUGCAAGCGUUGUCCGGAAUUAUUGGGCGUAAAGAGCUCGUAGGCGGUCUGUCGCGUCUGCUGUGAAAACUCAGGGCUUAACCCUGAGCUUGCAGUGGGUACGGGCAGACUAGAGUGCGGUAGGGGAGACUGGAAUUCCUGGUGUAGCGGUGAAAUGCGCAGAUAUCAGGAGGAACACCGGUGGCGAAGGCGGCAUCCUGGACCGACACUGACGGCU